UGGUGGCCACUGUAACUGCUUCAGACC
rnacentral:piRNA from 1 species